GAAAAUGCGAUAUGCAGUGUGAAUUGCAGAACCACGAAUCAUCGGAUAUUUGAAUGUAACUAACGCAGGCAACCCCUGCAUGUUUGGUUCAGUGUGCUCAACAAACUAACCGAAAACAAAUGCAUGAGAAGUUCUCAUGUUAAGUAUAUGCUCUUAGCAGCAGUCACUUUACAGUGAGUUGUUAAUAGUAAACAAAGACUUAAUUGCACCUGAACUCAAGCAAGAUGACCCGCUGGACUUAA
rnacentral:misc_RNA from 1 species